rnacentral:rRNA from 1 species
CCUACGGGAGGCAGCAGUGAGGAAUAUUGGUCAAUGGGCGCGAGCCUGAACCAGCCAAGUAGCGUGAAGGAUGACUGCCCUACGGGUUGUAAACUUCUUUUAUAAAAGAGUAAAGUGAGACACGUGUGCCUUUUUGUAUGUACUUUAUGAAUAAGGAUCGGCUAACUCCGUGCCAGCAGCCGCGGUAAUACGGAGGAUCCGAGCGUUAUCCGGAUUUAUUGGGUUUAAAGGGAGCGUAGAUGGCUUGUUAAGUCAGUUGUGAAAGGUUGCGGCUCAACCGUAAAAUUGCAAUUGAUACUGGCAGUCUUGAGAAUAGAUGAGGUAGGCGGAAUGCAUGGUGUAGCGGUGAAAUGCUUAGAGAUCACGAAGAACUCCGAUUGCGAAGGCAGCUUACUAAUCUGCCACUGACAUUGAUGCUCGAAAGUGUGGGGAGCAAACAGGAUUAGAUACCCGUGUAGUC